UACGAAGGGUGCAAGCGUUACUCGGAAUUACUGGGCGUAAAGCGUGCGUAGGUGGUUCGUUAAGUCUGAUGUGAAAGCCCUGGGCUCAACCUGGGAAUUGCAUUGGAUACUGGCGGGCUAGAGUACGGUAGAGGGUGGCGGAAUUCCUGGUGUAGCGGUGAAAUGCGUAGAUAUCCGGAGGAACAUCCGUGGCGAAGGCGGCCACCUGGACCAGUACUGACACUGAGGCACGAAAGCGUGGGGAGCAAACAGG
rnacentral:rRNA from 1 species